rnacentral:rRNA from 1 species
GACGGAAGGUGCAAGCGUUGCUCGGAAUCACUGGGCGUAAAGGGUGCGUAGGCGGCUUGGUGGGUCUGGUGUGAAAGCCCCGGGCUCAGCCCGGGAAGGGCACUAGAAACUGCCGAGCUGGAGUGCCGGAGGGGAGAGUGGAAUCCUGGUGUAGCGGUGAAAUGGCGUAGAUAUCAGGAGGAAUACCGGUGGCGAAAGCGGCUCUCUGGGACGGUACUGACGGCUGAGACGCGAAAGCGUGGGGAGCAAACAGG